AUAUCAAUAAGCGGAGGAAAAGAAACCAACAGGGAUUGCCUCAGUAACGGCGAGUGAAGCGGCAACAGCUCAAAUUUGAAAUCUGGAGCCUUCGGCUUCCGAGUUGUAAUUUGAAGAGGAUGUUUCGGUGCGACCUGGGCCUAAGUUCCUUGGAACAGGACGUCAUGGAGGGUGAGAAUCCCGUACAUGGCUGCAGGUUUGCUUCUAUGUGAAACUCCUUCGAAGAGUCGAGUUGUUUGGGAAUGCAGCUCAAAAUGGGUGGUAAAUACCAUCUAAAGCUAAAUAUUGGCGAGAGACCGAUAGCGAACAAGUACCGUGAGGGAAAGAUGAGAAGAACUUUGAAAAGAGAGUUAAAAGUACGUGAAAUUGUCAAAAGGGAAACGCUUGAAACCAGUAUUGCGUUCAGGUAAUCAGCCGUUCCUUUUGGGAUGGUGCACUUGCCUGUUUGCGGGUCAACAUCAGUUUGGUUCGGGAUAAAAAGCCUUGAGAAGGUAGCCCCUCGGGGUGUUAUAGCUCAAGGUCAUGUCUCGGGCUGGACUGAGGUCUGCAGUGUUAUUUGGGUAGCCAGUCG
rnacentral:rRNA from 1 species